UCUUAUGGAUGAGCGGAGGAAGUAGUUUCUUAGAUGGAAUUUACUCCUUGUGAAGAUGCUGUGAA
rnacentral:pre_miRNA from 1 species